AUCUUUGCGCUUGGGGCAAUGACGCAGUUAGAGAGGUGAAACCGAGACGCGUCAAUUGCUGGUUGAAAACUAUUUCCAAACUAUUUCCGAGGGAUCUUAACUUCUUACCAGCAUCUUUUCUCUUGAUUUCACUGAUCGGGAAUCUCCUCAUAGUCAGGGUAUCUUGAAGUUUUUUUAAUAG
rnacentral:snRNA from 20 species